rnacentral:rRNA from 1 species
AGUGAACGCUGGCGGUAGGCCUAACACAUGCAAAUCGAACGGCAGCACAGAGGAGCUUGCUCCUUGGGUGGCGAGUGGCGGACGGGUGAGGAAUACAUCGGAAUCUACUCUGUCGUGGGGGAUAACGUAGGGAAACUUACGCUAAUACCGCAUACGACCUACGGGUGAAAGCAGGGGAUCUUCGGACCUUGCGCGAUUGAAUGAGCCGAUGUCGGAUUAGCUGGUUGGCGGGGUAAAGGCCCACCAAGGCGACGAUCCGUAGCUGGUCUGAGAGGAUGAUCAGCCACACUGGAACUGAGACACGGUCCAGACUCCUACGGGAGGCAGCAGUGGGGAAUAUUGGACAAUGGGCGCAAGCCUGACGCAGCAACGCCGCGUGGAGGAUGAAGGUCCUUGGAUUGUAAACUCCUGUCAGCGGGGAAAAAGCGAGGUGACCUCAUACGUCAUCGAGUUGAUUGUACCCGCAGAGGAAGCCCCGGCUAACUCUGUGCCAGCAGCCGCGGUAA